UACGGAGGGUGCAAGCGUUAAUCGGAAUUACUGGGCGUAAAGCGUGCGCAGGCGGUUUGUUAAGUCCGUUGUGAAAGCCCCGAGCUCAACUUGUGAAUUGCAGUGGAUACUGGCAGGCUGGAGUACGGUAGAGGAAGGUGGAAUUCCCGGUGUAGCAGUGAAAUGCGUAGAUAUCAGGAGGAACACCGGUGGUGUAGACGGCUUUCUGGACCGUAACUGACGCUGAGGCACGAAAGCGUGGGUAGCAAACAGG
rnacentral:rRNA from 1 species